UCAUUCAGUGUUUUGUGUUGAGACUGUUUAGAGUUUGAUACGGUGUUCCGGAUCGCGUUCUUUUUACUGGAUUUUUGGACCGUUUUGAAAUUCCAAUUUACAUCUUCACCAUCACCAUCAUUACCUCCGACUUCAUCAUUAUCAUCACCAUCACUCAUCGGCAUCCCAAAUUAAGGAAGCAUCAAUUCAUGUCACCAUUCACAGCUGCAGUACCAACAGAAAUUGGAUUAAUAAACAAGGACAUGCAUCUGUUGACGGGCUAAAAGGUGACUGAAUUGCUAUUCCAUGGAAUUAAAUCAAAAACCGGGAAACACCUUACAUUCGCACACACCACCCCACCCUACCCGCAAUAAGACGAUCAAUAUGGACCAUCGAUGAAACUCUCAAUACGAGCUUGACACUAAAACAUUGAAUCACCCAAUGCUGGGAUACUUCAAACGAUGUUUCGAUAUUUAAACAAAAUUUUAAUUUGUUAUUAAUUUAGGUUAAAUGAAUAAAAAUUGCAAUAGGCGAAAAAAAUGUUUGCUGGCCCAGCAGCAAA